GAUGAACGCUGACAGAAUGCUUAACACAUGCAAGUCAACUUGAACUUCGGUUUGGGUGGCGGACGGGUGAGUAACGCGUAAAGAACUUGCCUCACAGAUAGGGACAACAUUUGGAAACGAAUGCUAAUACCUGAUAUUAUGAUUAUAUGGCAUCGUAUAAUUAUGAAAGCUAUAUGCGCUGUGAGAGAGCUUUGCGUCCCAUUAGCUAGUUGGAGAGGUAACGGCUCACCAAGGCGAUGAUGGGUAGCCGGCCUGAGAGGGUGAUCGGCCACAAGGGGACUGAGACACGGCCCUUACGCCUACGGGAGGCAGCAGUGGGGAAUAUUGGACAAUGGACCAAGAGUCUGAUCCAGCAAUUCUGUGUGCACGAUGAAGUUUUUCGGAAGGUAAAGUGCUUUCAGUUGGGAAGAAAAAAAGGACGGUACCAACAGAAGAAGUGACGGCUAAAUACGG
rnacentral:rRNA from 1 species